AGAAUGUCUGGAACCCAGUGUUCCACAGAGAAAAGGAGCCACCUUCUAAACACUGUUAAACAGAAGAUGUUACAUUCAACUAUAUGAAGAGUCCCUCAAGACCAUGUCAGGGUCCCGUGGAGGUUUUCAGAGGCUAUUUCCUGUGAGAUAUCACAGCCGAUUGAAUGCAGAGCAGGGCAAGAACCCAGCUGUCUUGAAGAGAUGUAUAAAAAUGUGAAAGUGCCUCUCCUCUCACAAAAUUGUUUGUGAGAAUAUACUUUG